CAUCACUAAUGCCCGCUGACGGCUCCGCGUUCCCGUGGGAGUCACCAUUAGCUGUCGCCUCCGGGCAGCACCCGAGCGGCAUCUGCCGCAGCUGGGGAUGCUGGUGGUGAUAUGAGCCGGGAGAAGCCUUCCGGGAGCAGCCCUGUCCAAGGGGUGAUCGCUCCCUGGAGCAGAAAAAGGACUAGAGGAGAAUAAGGGGAGAAUGGCUGGUGUACAGCAGCUUCUGCCCUGCUCUGGAAAGACAUGCAGUGAUCUGAGUUGUGUGCAUGAGUGACCUGCCCUCCUGACUCAGCAGUGCUGUCACGUGCAGAGGAACUUAGCCACCAACAAGCUAGAAACAGCCCAGGUGUGUGGGACAGCAGAAAGGCACAGUGGCCAGUGCUCACCAGAUGAAUCAUCAUUCCCUCCUCUCCCUGGUCUCUCCUGGCAGACAAGCCCUGUGUGAAAAUCAACUUCACUAAGACUUUAUGUAGAAUAUCACCAUGCUCACACCCUUUUCUGCUUAAAAUCUCUAUUAUCCUUAAAGAUGUCUGAGCAAUGCUGUCAGAAACCAAGAUCCCAUGUGAAAUUCCCUUACUGAUUAAUUUUGUUAGUAAAAUAUCUUAAAAGCUCAAAUUACACAUAUUUGGAGGACAGAUCAGAAUCAAGUCUGCCCUUUUUAGCCCCUUUUUGUAUUAUUUAUGUCAAGAUAAAAUGUGCUGUUUACUUGAAAUAGGGUCUCAGAAAAAAUUGGAGCUGGAUGAUGAGGAAGAUACUUUCUGUGAGAGCUCUGCCAUUUGGGUGCAGACAUCAGAAAUCCAGUGUCAAACAGGGCUACAGAAAGGACAAUGCAGCAGAAGAGAACUGCUUUGAUGUUUGGAGCAGAACAAUUUACUCCCACACCUGGGAGUAAAAUUAUCCUAUUCUCCACUUAUCCCUCUAGAUGUAUUGCCUUGCUGUAUGCACCCUGUAAGGACUGGUGUGGGGCUGCAGAAAGGUAAGAGUACUUUGAGUAGCUCUUUGCUUCCUCAUUCCUCUGCUCUACACCCCAUCCCCUAUGAACGGGGGCACCCUUUGUACUGGCAGCACAACCAGGACAGCAAUAGGAUUAGUGUUGAAGGAGAAUGGCUUCAUCUGCCCUGCAUCUUCUCAUUCUUUUCUGGUGCUUUGUUUGCUCCUAAUGUAUUUCUAUCAGUCUCUUUCUCCCCAGUGUCACCCUCUCUUUCCCAUACCCAAGCAUCUCCUGUCCCUAUUUUCAUCCUCAUUCUUUUUUCUAUGAACUGGAAGAUACGCCAGAUUUCUGCUUCUUAGUUAAGCAGUUUCUUGUUUUGUAGGUACUUGUACUGGAAUACCUGUAGUCUCUGAUGUGUGAGCAUAUCUAAGAUACACUGAACAUAGAUCCAACUAUGCAAUUGAUACAAGAUGUCAUAUUGUUACAUUUGCUUGAUGCUUCAGAGAUCUCCUCACUGCUGGAAGAGUGACAGAGGGAAAAGCAGCUGUGCAAGAGGUGCAGAACUAAGGAGUCAGAUACCUUAGGACUGCACCUUUGGGUUAACUAGCACUGAGUAAGUUGCAACCCUUUCAUCAUGGUUGGGGCAUAAAUAAUAUCCUCCUGCAUGGAUCAUCUGCUUGCUGCUGACACUGCAGGUUUUUGUGCUGUGGUGUCUCUCCUUAGACACAGGUUUUCAAGAAACUGUAGGGACUUUUGUGAUGUUAGGAAUGCUGCCUCUCUGCCAUGUAUCAUUAAAACUUGGUAACAUUAAAAAAGAAAGAGAGAGAGAGAGAGAGAGAGAGAGAGAGAGAAAGAAAGAAAGAAAGAAAGAAAGAAAGAAAGAAAGAAAGAAAGAAAGAAAGAAAGAAAGAAAGAAAGAAAGAAAGAAAGAAAGAAAGAAAGAAAGAAAGAAAGAAAGAAAGAAAGGAAGGAAGGAAGGAAGAAAGGAAGAAAGGAAGAGAAAGAAAGGAGAAAGAAAUAGGCAAACUUACCAGUUUUGUGCAUUCUGUACUAUCUAAGGAGCCCGCAUGGUACCUGAAAGUGUAAUUAAAGGCCAUGCAAGCUCAUUAAAUACAGAAUGUGUGUACGGGGGUGGAGGUGGAAUUAGGAUUGCUCAAGCAAUUUUUAUUCUGGCAUUUCCUAAUGUUUUAAUGUUUACAUUAGCAAGUCUUAAUUAAUUUUCAUUAUACAAAAAUAUGAUGAAAAAUGCUGUUGUUACAUAAAUGGAUCCACUGUCCAUUGUUUUUUUCUUGCUAGAUCUCAGAAGCAAAAGGAGGUUUCCCCAGGGAAUCCGAAAUUUUGUUUAAUCUGGAUAUUUUAAUGCUAAUUAAAAUUUUUAGCAGAGAGUUUUUUAGCAGAGAGGGCUCUGAAGACUCAUUCUGCAAACCUGGAGGCCAGCAAUGAUACUGUUUGUAUCAAUGGUGCACAGUGUGGAAGGCGAUUGAAAGAAACUAGUUAAAUCUUUAAUAGUCAAAGACUGCCAUGAUAUAAGUCUAAGACCCUUCAUGGAGCAGAUCAUAAAUUAAAAACAACAGCAACAACAAAAGAUUUCAGAAGGGAGAGCAAUUGUUGCGUGCACAGAGCAAAACAGCAGCAAAGUAUCUCCCAGACUGCAAGAGAGUCUUGCAUAUGCAAGUUCCGCAUUACUGGCAGGUAUGGAGAGGAAACAGGAAUGCAGAAGUCACUGCACUGGCAUGUUUGCAGACUGCUGAACCAGACACUUUCCUCCAGACACAGAUUAGCUGCUUGCUUCAACAAACAGAGCAAAACAGGCCAGUCAAAUCACAAAAAAUAUAUCAUAGGAGACAGCAAAACACAUGUCCAACACUCCAGGUAGCAAACCAGUUGUCCAGCGGCUGAAUCUCUUCACUGUGAGGCAGGUCCUGGGAGUGAUUCCUUGUGUUGUCAUCACUGGCAGUUGUGAGCCUGGAAAACCAGCUGUAAGGGAACUGCAAGCAGCUGCCAAAAGCAUGGGAAGCUGUGUCACCUCUGCUGCUCUAAGUACCAGUGAAAGACAAGCCCAUUAUGCAGUCCCAUCUCUGGGGAUGGGAUAAUUUUCUGCAGGGUAAGUUUAAAGACUUGUCUAUACUUUGUCUCACUCUUUCUUGUGGAGUUGUUCCUUCUCCCAAGGCUGAGUACAGAUUUGUCUUCGUAGCUUCAACCAUUCCUUCAAAUGGGGAGAUCCAGUCUCACAACAGGUCUUUUUUGGUAAAAAUAAAUUACAUAUGCCUUAGAAAGUGGAUCCUAUGAAUGUGAAGUAAAACACACUCCUGACUGCUAUAUUUCUGCUGCCAGCCUUUUCUGAAGCCUAAGAUUAUUCAGUGAAAGAUGUAAAAAUUUCCUAAUAUUUCAAAGUAUUUUCUUAUUUUGUAUUUAGUCCUCUUUGAGCUAUUUUGUUUCCAUUUAUAGUUGUACCAACUCUCCCACGUAUACAAGACAAGCAAGUGGAAUUAUAGUUUAUCUAAAAAUCUGUCCUUUGUGAACUCACAGCUUGCUUAGUGCCUUGUAGAAUAAAUUUUUCAAGAACAGAAAUGGAGAUAAAACUUUAGUUGACUAUUUUAUUUUAUUUUAUUUUAUUUUAUUUUAUUUUAUUUU